GAUGUACGCUGGCGGCGUGCCUAAUACAUGCAAGUCGAGCGAACAGAUGAGGAGCUUGCUCCUCUGACGUUAGCGGCGGACGGGUGAGUAACACGUGGAUAACCUACCUAUAAGACUGGGAUAACUUCGGGAAACCGGAGCUAAUACCGGAUAAUAUAUUGAACCGCAUGGUUCAAUAGUGAAAGACGGUUUUGCUGUCACUUAUAGAUGGAUCCGCGCCGCAUUAGCUAGUUGGUAAGGUAACGGCUUACCAAGGCAACGAUGCGUAGCCGACCUGAGAGGGGGAUCGGCCACACUGGAACUGAGACACGGUCCAGACUCCUACGGGAGGCAGCAGUAGGGAAUCUUCCGCAAUGGGCGAAAGCCUGACGGAGCAACGCCGCGUGAGUGAUGAAGGUCUUCGGAUCGUAAAACUCUGUUAUUAGGGAAGAACAAAUGUGUAAGUAACGAUGCACGUCUUGACGGUACCUAAUCAGAAAGCCACGGCUAACUACGU
rnacentral:rRNA from 1 species